UACGGGAGGCAGCAGUGGGGAAUAUUGCACAAUGGGCGAAAGCCUGAUGCAGCUAUGCCGUGUGUAUGAAGAAGGCCUUAGGGUUGUAAAGUACUUUCAUCGGGGAGGAAAAAACAAAACUAAUAAUUUUAUUUCUUGACGUUACCCGAAAAAGAAGCACCGGCUAACUCCGUGCCAGCAGCCGCGGUAAUACGGAGGGUGCUAGCGUUAAUCAGAAUUACUGGGCGUAAAGAGCACGUAGGUGGUUUUUUUAAGUCAGAUGUGAAAUCCCUGGGCUUAACCUAGGAACUGCAUUUUGAAACUGAAAUACUAGAGUAUCGUAGAGGGAGGUAGAAUUCUAGGUGUAGCGGUGAAAUGCGUAGAUAUCUGGAGGAAUACCUGUGGCGAAAGCGGCCUCCUAAACGAAUACUGACACUGAGGUGCGAAAGCGUGGGGAGCAAACAGGGAUUAGAUACC
rnacentral:rRNA from 1 species